ACCUUAGUUUUCAGAUUUAGCAGCCUAAUUUUUAUCAGAUUAUACCAUAAAAUCAAAAGUAGACUUGUAGAUCUUUUUAAAACAAGGCAUGAAAUAUUAAUUUAAAUAAUAUAAAUUAAACAAAUAGCCUAAAUAACAACUACACAAAGUUAAAGUCAUAAUAACUUUUUAUAAAGGUAUCUUGAAUUUCAACUGGAGGUAGUUUUGAUAAAUAUUAGUAUUCUGAACAUUAAAAUAGGUAGACUUAACAUAAAUUUGUUCUGAAAACAUAUUUAGAAAUUGGUUUUAAAAAAUGAGGUUAGGAUUGGGGUGAUAACUAGUUGAGGAUUAGAUAUGAUAUUCAUUGUGUUUAUCCAUGUUGUAAUUUCUCUUUUACAGGUUCAUCCAAAAAAAAGGGAAGAUCUGAUUUUUACCAGUAAUAAGACUACAGCAUACUAAAUGACACAAGAUGUUCUUUCUCUAUUACCUCUUACAUUUGACAUAAAAGUAGGAAAAGGUUUAACAGUCUAUGCCUACAACAUGGAUCUCCAGGACUAAAAGUGCACAAAAUGGCAAUCAGUAUAUCACAAGUGUUAUAACACAUGCAUCUAAUCUGCUUCAGUGGCGAGAACUGGGUGAAUCCUCUCAAACAUUAAUCAGGAACUAGGCAUACCUAAUGAGCGUCAAGCUGAUACAGUAGAUGUACAUAAGAAUUUUUACACAAGGAAGUGAAAAGUGAUGUAAAAGGCAACUAAUACUUCCAUCUACCAUAGUUAAACAAGAAUCUGCAAAUGGUGAUAAUUGCAAUAAUCUUGAUAUAUUAAUGUUUGGCUUUAUAAUUAUAUGCAAUUGUUUCAUAAAUAAAUUAUUUCUC